CCUUGUACACACCGCCCGUCACACCACGAAAGCUGUUUGUACCCAAAAUCACUUUAGCUAACCUGUAAAGGAGGCGAGUGCUUAAGGUAUGGGCGGUGAUUGGGGUG
rnacentral:rRNA from 1 species